rnacentral:lncRNA from 1 species
UGUCAGUGGAAGCUACUGUGUGUUGAAGCUUCCCACCCUUGUAACUGUUGCUACCCUCAGCCUGAAGAUCUGGUGGCACUUGUAGAUGUCAGUUUGCCUCUUAAUAACAAGGCCAAGGAGGGACCAGGAAGUCUGGAAACCCUGAGCUUACAUUCCCUUUCUUCUUUUCAAAUGUAGAUGUCUGACUCCACCCUUCAUGCAUUCACAUUUUCUUCCUCUAUGUUGGGAGAAGAAGUUCAGCUGUAUUUCAUCAUCCCCAAAUCCAAAGAGAGUCAUUUUGUCUUCAGCAAGCAGGGCAAACACCUGGAGAGCAUGCGGCUGCCUCUGGUUUCAGACAAGGUGGGUGAGAGGUCUAGAUGGUUGCCAGACACCCGGCACUAGAUCAGGUUCUCCAAGCUGCUCACAUCUGAGGGUUUUACUUUCCCUUUUUGGUCUUACUUUUUGGUUUUACUUUUCCUUUUCAGCAGAAUUUGAAUGCAGUCAAGAGCCCUAUUUUCACUCCUUCCAGUGGUCGCCAUGAGCAUGGACUCCUAAACCUUUUCCACGCCAUGGAGGGCAUCAGCCACCUUCACCUUCUAGUGGUCAAAGAAUAUGAGAUGCCGCUGUACCGCAAGUACUGGCCCAACCACAUCAUGCUGGUGCUUCCUGGCAUGUUCAACAAUGCAGGCGUGGGUAAGGGGCCCCCUGGGAUGGGGAGAAGGGCUAAGCAAACUGAGCUCCAUUCCCCUGCCAUAAAACUUCCAAAGGUUUCUCUGCCUCUGGACGGUGUCCUGCUCUCCUGGCCAGAAGUCUUUUGACGCUUUGCAUUUCUCUAUGCCCCUUACUACCUUUUCUGUAGUUUUGCAGAAAUUUUAACUUCCAAGGACUAGUAACUAAGGAAGUCACUGUAAUAUUGAGCACCCUGGGAAGGGUUUAAGAUUCUUCCCAGGAACUUGGUCCUUUGAGGCCAGAAUGUAACCCUGAAAAGAAAGAUGAUUUGAGGGGAGGUAGUGUUUCACCUGUUCUUAAGAGUCCCUGACUCACUGUCCUCCUAGGAGCACAUACCAAGUGCUAGCAGACGGCAACCCGUCCAGGGAAUUGGAAGAAUCAUUCCUGCUUGGAAGGAGUCUUUUCUGCUUUUCCCCAGGGAGUUUAGAAAUAAUGAAUUCAUUUCUCAAAGGGGCAAUGGUUGCAGAAUAUAAAGCAGAGCUGUGGGGAGGUAAUGGAGAUACCAAGAACACUUCAUUUUCCUUACAUAGAUGGGAAAACUCUCACUGAAUGUGUUGUUUUGGAACCAUACUAUUCUGUACACUUCAGACACUGCAGUUCUCAUUAUUUCCAUCAACUUCUAUGGGUGUCUGAAUAUUUCAUUGUGAUUUAUCUCCAUUUCCCUAAUGAUUAUGAAUGUUAUCUUUUCAUGUGCUUUUUGACUGUAUGUCUUUAGAAAAAUGCUCCGCAAAGUCUUUUGCCCAUGAAUCAUUUUAUUGUUGAGAUCAUAGAGAUUCUUUACAUAUUGUGGAUAUUAACUCCUUAUCAGAUGUUAUUACAGAUAUUACACCCAUUCCAUGUAUAGCCUUUUCACUGUGUUGUGUUCUUUAAUACAUAAAAGUUCUUAAAGAAGUCCAGUUUUUCUGUUUUUGCCACAGAUCACUGCCUAAUUCAAUAUCAUAAAGACUUCCCCUGUAUUUUCUUCAAAAUCUUUUACAGUUCUAGCUUUUAUGUCUAGGUCUGUGAUCCAGUUUAAUUAAUUCUUGUAUAUAGUGUAAAGGAAGUAAGUUCAUUUCUUGGCAUAUAGAUAUCCAGUUCUGCCAACACCAACUGAUGAUGAAACGGUCCUUCCCUCAUUUAAUGGCUUUGACAUCAUUGUUGACAAUCAUUUAACUAUAUAUAUGAGAGGGUUUGUUUCUGGGCUUUCUGUGUCUGUAUGUCACUCCCACAGUUUUGACAAAAAUGGUUUUAUACAAGUUUUAAAAUUAGUACAAAAUUUCUAAUUUUUUGAGACAUGAUAUUUGUACAUUUUUUAUGGAUUAUGGUACUUCAAUAUGCAUAUAAUGUAUAAUAAACCAAAUCAGGGUAAUAAGGACUUCAGUCUUUUCAAAUGUUGAUCCUUUUUAUGUGAUGGGGACAUUUAGUGCUGUUUUCUUAUCAUUUUGAAAUAAAUCAUAAUUUGCUAUAGCCAAAUUAACCUUCUGUGCUAUACAGAAAACCAGAACUAAUCCCUCUUUUCCAUGUGUUUGUGCUCUUCAUUGGGCUUUUCCCCAUCUCUUCCUCCUGGCUACACUUCCCAGUCUCAAGCAAGCACACUGCACUCCAUUCUUCUAAGAGAUCAGCUUUUUAGUUUUCAUAAGAGUAAGAACAUGGGUAUUUCUCUUUCUGUGGCUUAUUUCACCUCCCAUAACGCUCUCCAGUUCUUCCCAUGUUUCUGCAAAUGGCAACUUCGUUCUUUUUUAUGGUGGAAUAAUCUUCCAUUGUGUGUACAUAUACCACACUUACUUUAUCCAUUCGUCCACUGAUGGGCAUCUAGGUUGAUUUUAUAUCUUAGCUGUGGUAAAUAGUGCUAUAAUAAACAUGGGAGUGCAGAUAUCUCUUUGAUAUGAUUUCAUAUCAAUAUUGGGAUUGCAGGAUCAUUUAGAAGUUUUUAGUUUUUAAAGGAAUCUCUGUGCUGUUUUUCAAAAUGGCCGUAUGAGUUUACAUUUCCCAAUAGUGUAUAAGAUUUCCUCAUUCUCUGCAUCCUGCGGCAUCUUGUCUUUUUGAUAACAGUCAUUCCAACUGUAGUGAGGUUUACUUUUGUUCUGUACCUUUGGGAUCCUAUCUAAAAAAAUCAUCGCCUACACCAAUGAAACCUGCCACUUUGGCUUGUAAAAUUUUUGUUCUUACACCUAGGUCUUGAAUCCAUUUGAGAUGACUUUUGUGCAUUUACAGUGGUCUAGUUUCAUUUUUCUACAUACAGAUAUCCAGUUUUCCUGCCACAAUUUAUUUGAAAAGGUUGUCUUUAAUAAACAUUUGUAGCAUCUUUGUCAAGAAUCGGUGACUGUUAGGUGUGUGGAAUUGUCUGUGUCUUCUGUUCCAUUGGUCUACGUAUCUAUUUUGAUGCCAGUACCAUUCUGCUUUUGUUACUAUGGCUCUGAAAGUAAUAUAAUCUGAAAUGGGGUACUGUGGUAUCUCCAGCAUUACUUCUUUUGCUCAGAACUGCUUUAGCUAUUCUGGGCCUUUUGUUCUUCUAUAUGAAUUUUAGGAUUUUCCUCCUAGUUUUAUGAAGAAUGUCAUUGGAAUUUUGUUGGGGAUUGCAUUGAAUCUGUGGAUCCCUUUUACUAAUAUGGCCAUUUUAACAAAAUGGAUUUAUUUUUGAUUUCUUUUUAUAAUUUUUUACUUUCUCCUUUUUUUCCCUUUCUCCUCACUUUUUCUUUCGUAUCUUUCGUUUCCCCCAUUUCUUUCCUUAUUAUUUUCAUACCCUUUAUGAUUUAGUGUCUAUUUUAUUUCCUUUAAUACCAAAAUUUUCUGACUAGAGUAUUUGUCUUCUUUUCUAUUUUUAAAUUAGUGGAGUUGGAGAGAACAUUUCAAUGCCUUAUAAACCUUGUUAGUAUAUGGUCUGCUUGCAAAUGUCUAGUGAUUAUCAUCUCCUCUCAAAAUGGUGUUGGGAACUGGUCAUAUCACUCUGAACCCAUGGUGGGCUUUGAUGCUGAGAUACACCAGCAGCCCAGGGCACAAAGCAAAGAGAAAGCAGCUCACUAAAAUACUUCUACAGUUGAAGAGGUAUCAAACCCAGCAGAUACACAAAUCUCAACAAAGAAACACAGAAAACAAGGUAAUAAGAUCCUUCCAAAGGUUUUUAACUUCCCAGUAAUUGAACCCAGAGAUAUUGAAGACGAAGUGCUGGACAAAGAAUUUUAAAAGCUGAUGAUCAAAGCAGUCAAUGAAUUAAAAGAAGAAUAAAGGGAAGAAAAAAACAGGAAGUGAAAGAAUACUUCGAUACUCUGAAAAAGAAACAAAUAGAAACCUUAGAAAUAAAAAAAACAAAAACUAGUAAUUCAAAUGUAAUCAAGUGUCACCAUUAGACUAGAUCAAGCAGAAGAAAGGAUAUCAAGGCUCAAAGAUUCAGGAUUCAAACUUCAUACUCAUAAAUUCUGAGUCUCUCCCAAAAGGACAGAGUAAAAAAAUUAGAAAAAAAAAUCAAGAAUAAAUCCAAAUAAACAUUUUAAAAACAUAAAACUGGAUAUCAAUAUCAAAUAAUGGGGGGGGGGGCAGGUAUCUGACCACAGUCAACUCAGAAGACAAUACAGUGAAAUAAAAAAUGUUGAAAAUAUUAGAAUUCCUCAGGCUUUGGCUCCUGUCCACCCAGGCUUCAUCCCACCCAACUCUUGUACAAACUUAAUAGGUGGUGACAUGUUCUCUUUGUUGCUGAGAUGUAAUGGCCCCUGGAGUGUCAGUUAACUCCUUCACGGGCACCCUGCAAGUCCCGGCAACAGUGGCAAGCCUUGGUGGCUUUCAAUUGCACAGCACUCAUGCAAUUUUUGGUAUACAGUCAGAUAAUCAUACUAUGACCUUCAGACUGGUUAUUUCUGGUGUGCAGAAAUGUAACGGAUUUGGAGUAUCUGCAACAUUGCUUAUUGGUCUAACAGGGUUUUCUGUGGAAUUUUAAGUAUUUUCUUCAUAUAAGAUAUGUUUUCUGGGAGGUGGUUUUUAUUCAUCUCCAAUUUGAAUAACUUUUCUUUUUCUGGCCUAAUUGUUCUGGCCAGGACUUCCAUACUAUGUUUAAAUAAAAGUGGUAAAAUUUUUAAGGAUUUGUAUUUAAAUCUCAAAAAAGAUUCCUUUUCAUAAUCUUAGGUUAAGUAGCAUUUAUCAAGAAAUUUUCAGGAGAAAAGAUCAGUCUGUUCUCAUCAUUGUUAUGUAUAAAACUAAGUAGUAAGCAUUUUUCUUACAGCAUUGGAACUCAUUGAAAGAUUGCAUGGCAUAAACAGGAACGAAUAAAACCAACAUCUUUUUUGAUAUAAAUGCCAAUCUUUUGUUAAGUAACACUGUAAAAAUUAGCUAUGCGUAUAAGGAAGUAGUAAACUGCUCUGGGGGGGAAAAAAAAACAUAAGUGGUGAAAGUAGGCAUCCUUGUUCCUGAUCUUGGAGCAAAGAUCUUCAGUCUUUCACUACAAUGUUGUUACUAAUGGGCUUUUUGUAUAUGGCUCUGUGUUUAGAAUGCUAACUAUUACACAUAUGCUCUUAGUAGGCUUUCCCAAAUUCCAAUUAUUAUCCAAACUGUCCUGGGUUCCUCCAUCAGUUGAAUAACGUUCUUUUGUUUUAUUAUCACAUUUUCAUUUUAAGGUGGCUUAAGUUUGGCUAUUUCCUGAUGAUCACCAUUUUAAAUAAUUGCUAAUACUGAAUACUUACAGUUUGCUAGACACUAUCUUGUCAUUGUUACCUGUUCCAGAAAGGGAAGCCAAGAUUGAGUGGAAUUAACUUGUUCAGUGUCACAGGCUAGAACAUGGUGGAAUCAAAGCAAGAGCUUGACUCUAAUCUGUUUCUUUAUUAUACCAUACUACCUCUUGCAAAAAGUACAUCUGAGGGAAGGGUACAAAAUUCCAGAGUCGUCUUCAGAGAGACGCUGCUGGCAACUCCCUAAAGGUAUCUAAAGCAAAAGACUCAUCAAUGCAAGUAGCACUGCCAUUAGUCACAGCCCUGGCUACUCCCUAGUGCAGGACAUAUGAGUGGAUACUUCUAAGCCUAACAUUCUAUGAGGAACUAAUUAAAAAGCAUCCCAGGGAAACUGGAUUCCUCAAUACUCCUCAAAGUAUAGUUCAUGCAUCUUCAAAGAUUAUCUCUGGUCUCUGAUCCUUUACCAAAUUUAAGCAAAUCUGCAGAGAUGGGUCUUAGGAAUCUACAUUUGAAACUGACUUCCCUAAUGACUCUUAAGAGAACCACUGCUCUGAGCAUUUGGGUGGCUCUGCCAGGUGCAUGUGAAGAAUGGGGAAGUGCUGGAGGGGCUUCAGUGAAGGGUGUGUAUACAUUGGUUAUGCUGCCUUCCAGGUGCUGCUAGAUUCCUCAUUAAGGAGCUGUCAUAUCACAACCUAGAACUGGAGAGGAACCGCCUGGAGGAGCUGGGAGUUAAACGCCAGUGUGUCUGGCCUUUCAUCGUUG